AAACUAAAAUCGACUGUGUUGUGCGUUUUCUGUUAUUGCAGGUAGUGGUGUCCCUCACAGCCGGCAGGGAAGGGAAGAGAAGAAGGAGGCGUUCCCGAUCCACUGGUUUUCGGUCUUCAUCGGCGGCGGCGCGUGGAGCAACGCGCCACUACUGUUCAGACGACACCAAGGCUGUGCAGCACUGUUCCCGAGGAUUUCUUUGUGUUUUUGUUGUAACUUUCAGAUGAUGUGUAUAUUUAGAUAUUAUUGUAUUUGAUUUAUUUUGAAUUUUUGUUAUUUGUUUUACAUGUAAAAAUUGUGUAUGUAAAAAACAAAAAAAGAAAAGGAAAGGAAAAGAAAAAGAAAAUAUAGUGAAAGUGUAUGAGUGUGUUUGUAUUUGUUUUAUGGAUGUUUUAUUUUUAUUUAAGAUAAAAUUGUAAAGAUUAAAGAAUAAUUUAAUAUUUUGAUUGGAUCACGGUCAAGAAUUAUUAACUUACAUGUAAGUUGUAUUUCUAAUAUCCGAUGAAAAGACAAUUAUUAAAACUUCUUUAACACAUCAAAGUCACGAAGCAGCUUACCUCAGGUAGGGUGUGUUAGGGGUGCUAAUACCUUCUCUAACCACAACCAGUCCCUUACCCGCGAAUCUCUGACAAGACCAGUAUAUCAGGUUUCCUAGUAGCCCUCAAUAAAUUACUAGGUGGCGACUCCAACGAACCAAUCAAUUCAAGCAAAACGACAAACGAAAAAUCGCCAGCCGAUGCGACAGAAUGGCGACUCCACUGGGGAAGGUACUGUUUCUGACAUUAUUGGACUAAGCUUUGUGUUUGAUAUGUUUAAAUUUUUGCAAUUUUAUCUCUUUUUUUCAAUAUUUGUUUCCAUGCAUUUUUAGAAUUGUUUCAUGCAUCACCUGUAUUUAUUUUUGAAAGCACACACGAGCUUUUAAGUUAGGUGGUGAAUUAGCGAUCUGCCCUAUGACUAUUGGUCAGGGUUCAGAUGCGUGAAAAACCGAACUCAUAUCUGAGUGCCUGCUUAGUAAUGGUGGGUAUAUGUACCUUAACUAUUUCUUGCAACGCCCCUAUACUGUCUUUACAAAGAUCAUCACUGGGCAGAUAUGAGACCCUUUUGAGACCAGGUAGAAAACCUACCCAUGUUCACAUAAUGAAUAGAACCUGCCUUUAGGAUGUGUGCUCCGUAUACAUUGUUUUGCAUAAGGGCAAACCCUUCUUGAAGCAUCUUGAACUCAAGACUUGUGGGUGACCCAAUGGCCGUCACUCAGAAAAUUUUCAUUGUAGAGUUUGGGCAAGAAUCAAGAUUCUUGUUUCAUCAUGCAAGAGUUACGACCAUAUGUCACCUCUCGAAGGGCAAGUUCAUCAUAUAGUUUGCAUGUUCAUACAUUUAUCAUGCAUGUACCGGGAGGAAAAAUAGGUUCCCCCAUCUGAGCUUUGCUACACCUGAUUGAACAAAGAUGAUGGGAAAUGAAGAAAGGGGUCAAAGAGAAGCUCAUUAUCAAAGGGAAGUUGAGAGCAUCAAAGGUGAAGUAGCUAGACUCAGAUCUCCCUGAACAAGUGUUGAGCAUCAAAUGGAAAGGGAAUGUCUGCACAAUCUUUUGUGGGAACACCGCUCGUCCACGUCCCAUUGAAGCCGCACCUCUCCUUUUCAGUCAUGAACAACGACAACUAUGCCUUCAGUCAUAACCAAUGACAACUUUUGUUCUCGGUCAAUUGCCCUGUUAAUUGUUCAUCGCCUCCACAUCUUUCAAUGACACCAAAUAACUGCUAGCCUUCUGUGCAUGGUGCAUUAGCCUUCUUUGAAGUUACCCCACUUUGAGCUCAAUUCCAGUUCAGCGGCACAAGAUGCUGAUCUAAAAAAAAAAACCAUGAUUAUACACUGAACUUCUAUGUGGCAGAGCUCUCUCUGUUGAGAUUUGUUUGUGGAUCUGCCAGUGGGGAAUGCAAGAGGGGAUGUAGUAGUUUCAUAUGCUUUGAAAUUUUCUCUCACCAGUGGCACCAGCAAAACAUUGUAGUAGGCAGAAGAGUCAGACUUGGUCUGAAAAUAUUAGCAGUCGUCAAACUUCAAUGUGGCAGAGCUCUCUCUACAAAAAUCCGUUUAUGGCUCUGCAAAGUGGGAAUGCAAGAGGGGGUGUAGUAGUUUCAUAUGCUUUAAAACUUUCCCCCACCAGUUUCAGCAUCGAAACACUGUAGUAGGCAGAAAAGCCAGAUUUGAGCUAGAAAACAGGAGCAAAUAUAGAACUUCACCGUGGCAGAGCUCUCUCGGCAGGAAUCUGUUUGUGGAUCCGCAAGUGGGAAAUGGCAGAGCUCUCUCGGCAGGAAUCUGUUUGUGGAUCCGCAAGUGGGAAAUCCAAGAAGGAAUAGUUUCAGGGAGAAAAGACAAGCCUGGACUAAACAACAUGAAGAAGACUGAAACUUCAAUAGAGGAGAACUCCCUCUAGAGGUGUCUGUUUAUUGCACUGUCUGUGAGCAAUCGAAGAGGAGACAAAGAAGUUUCAGAUUCAUCAGUUUCUCCUCCAAUAAAAACAAUGCAUCAUUUCACACAUUGACAGUGAUAGCACUGCGCUGCAUGAUUCUAUGCGCUGGCAAGAUUACCUAGCUGUUGGAAGGUUUCCAACAAUACACAAACGACCACAACAACAUGGGAAGAUUGACAUGAUGUUAUGAAGAUUGCCAAAAGAAUUGAGCUAGCUGUCAAGAUGGGAAAGAUUGAAGGAUCUGCCAUGGAUUCCAGAACUGUGAAGAGAUGAAUCAGGAGAUGACUCUGAAGACGGGAAACCAUAGUUAUGUGGUUUAGUCAAGUCUCACAAAGCACCAACUACUCCAAUGUCUUUGCCAAAGAUAGACAUUCCUUUGCCAUGUGGGUUUAUUUACUAGCAUCUGCCAGAUUCCAGACUUUUGCCUGACUCUGACAGAUCCCAUGCAACCACCGUUUUCUAGGUGGUAUAAUCCAAACAAGAGAUGUGAUGUCAUGGUGGGGUCCUCAGCCAUUUCAAUUGAACAAUUGCAAGAAUCGAGUCCGGAAGUUGGUGAGCAAAAGACGAGAGGAAUCUGUGAAGGAGCUUGUCAUCGAUCAUUUUGUCGCCAGAACAUCCUCAGAAUGACGAGUGAUCGGAAUUGCUUGGCAAAACAGAGAUAUUGCCAAAGAGGCUGAUCUAAGAAGGGGUUAAACUGUCAAUCAUUUUUGUUAUGGAUUUUGCCAUCUUGCAUUUUGUUUUGGGGUCACAUCUCAUCCUUUAACGAAACAUGUCUUUCCUUUUUCUUCCUGUUGUUUUGAAAUCAAGAGAUGCUUCUUUCAAAGGGUAUUUUUACAAAAUAUUUUGAUCAAGCUCCAACAUGCGAUUAAGAUUAAUCAAUCCUGAAGAUUAAAAGUAUUUUGAUUGCAGAAAUAACUCGAUGCUUGAAAAUGACAUGAGGUGACCAAACACUUUUGAACUCAUACCUCCUGAAACUGAACCACACAUGAUGUAGCUAAAUUUUAACAGUAUGCAUAAUGACAUGUAGUGGAUUCAGUAGUUAUGGACUCAUGAAUCAUUGACUCUUACAAGUCCCAAUCAUUACACUGGAUGAGGUCAAAAUUUAUCGGUUCUAACCGACCUUGCUUGAAAUGAGAAAAGGCCAUCUUUGUUAUCCUUUCACAUUUCUUGAAAUAUUAUCCCUUGCAGUCCCAUUUUGAGUCUGGUAAAGUAUUUUCUUUCAAAAAGAAACCCUGACUAGGAUCACACCCUACAUUGGGGGAAAAUGAGAGAUAUUUUGAAGACACUGAUUGGACUAAUGGAUAAAAGAAAGGCUUAGAAUAAAAGUCAAAUGAUUGAGAAAAGGCUAGAAGAAUAAAAGCCAUAGAUUGAGGGCCAUCCAAGAAAACUUUGAGGAAGGCUGUGAGAAAGCAAAAAAAAGAUUGAAAAAAGAAGAUGAUGAAAUUGCCUUCACUUAAAGGCAAGUCAAAAAUAAAGGAAGGAGAAUGCCUAUCAAUUCCAAGAGUGGCAAAAGAGGUUUCAAUUGAAGAAAGACACAACAAAUGCCAAAAGUCAACACUAAAAAAAUCAAGUUUCAUGUCUUUUGGUGUGUCUAGGAUAAAGCCUUUAGUGUCUUAAAAUUUUUUUAGAUUGAUUAUUCAUCAUAGAAAAAGUUGGAUUUACAUUAUGACCUAUGUUAAGAGAAUUCUGAUCUUUGAGAUUAACAAGGUUAUAGGUCACUUUCUCCACAAAGACAACAAUAGAAAAAGAGUUGAUGAAUAGUUUGAUGUUGAUCCUAGGUCUUUGAAACCCUCAAACACCUUUUGAGCCUGAAAUUUCCUUUCUUUCAUAAGCCAUGAACCAUAGCCUGCAUUACGUGCUUUUAAAAGCCCUUUUUGAUCAAGUAAGCAAUCUGAACCGAUAAAUGGCGAUCUCAAAACUUGAAGAGUUUUUUCCAUAAGGGUCGUGACUUCAUGAAUCAAGCUACCAGUUAUUAUGCAUGCUGAUAAAAUAAAUGCUAAGAGAAGAAACAACCUUUCUUGAUAAAGCCUAAGCAUCUUGUUUUUUGAAAUUCACAAAAUAUCACCUCAUCACAGACCAUCAAAAGAUAUACCCAAGAUCAAAGAUUAAAACUGACACAAAAAAAAAACCAUGGAAAAUUCAUUUUAAUCUUACAACGGGUCAUUUCUGUUUUCAAAAUACAAGACAAUCAAAGGACUAUAUUGAAUAGUGUGUGUUGGGUCUUUGACCAAAAAGCUUGAUUUUCAAAAGAUCUUUUCCAAAACUGAUAUCUCUUUGAUUUCAUUUCAACAAUUAGACUUGAAUUGACAUGAUCUUUGAAAUAUGAGAGUUGAUUCCAGAACAAGAAAGAUUGUUAAACAACAAGAACAUCGACCGAAUUUGCAAAAUCCUUGACAAGAAUGACAUCAACAUUUCUCGACACUCCUUGAAAAGUUGACCACCUGGAGGCAAUACAGUGGAUCAUGGGUAGGAAAACAAACAGUAUUCAGAUCAGUUGGGGGCAAUGAAAGAUGAUUAAAUGAUGAAUCAGUGUACUGAAGACAAUGGUGUUCAAAGAAAGAUAAUCAAUGAACGAGCACAUUCAGAUCAUAUUGGGGGCAAUGUUGUUCAAAGAUAGUCCAUGAUCUAGUGAACCCCGUCAACAAUCGGGAAAGCAAAGAUACACUUGAAGGAAAUCUUUAUAUCGUCAUCUUUUGAAACAUGGCUAUCGACCGAUGUGGGCAUACAGUUGCAUUCGAACGAAUAUGGAAAAGAUGUGCACACCACCAAGACUGACGGUGGAUCAAAGCUGCACUUAAAGGACAAUCUCAUAUUGUCAUUUUUUGAAACAUGGUUAUCAACAGAUGUUAUUGCAUAGUUGCAUUGGAAUGAAUGUCAGAAAGAUGCACACCACCAAGACUGACUGUGGGACCAUCUAUUUUAGAGCUCAAAUGCGCACUUCACCGUAUGAAUAUGGGUGAUAACAUGAACAUCAUUGAUGAUGUCAAGACAUUUCUUUCCACUAUCUGAUUUGACAAGCUGAGAGAAAUCCAUGAGAAAGAACAUUGAGCAUACAACGAUGAGUCUUUCACUGCAAGCUAUGAGAUGCAUGUCUGGAUGAUUGGAUAGUUUCAAUGAAGACUGAUGAUAAUAUAUACUUGAAGAGUAUUGUUUCAACUGGGGGCAAGUUCAUGACUGAUUGACAAUCUAAAAGGAGGUUAAACACCAGAAAACCUCUUGAGGGGUGUUGGCAAAACACAUGCACCAAAUCAAAGGACAAUUCUUGAGAGAAUCUAGGAGAUGGAUGAUUUGUUCAACUCCUUCAUGAUGAAUCGAGCAACACCGCACUUGGGGGCAGAGUCAAGCUUGAUAAACAGCGAGAGCAGUAAUUGUUGUGGACAGCCCAGGAUGUGCACUGCACUUACAACUGAGGGGAUGGCUAGCACAUGAAUGAGCCAAUGCAUCGAAAGAACCAAUAAAGCUUUGGAAUGCAAACAAAGGCACCCUAUGACGAUGGAUCAUCAAAGGGGGGGGCCUAUAUUUCACAUCAGGUAAGGAUGCAUGCAUGUCAUCUAACCUCAAAGCAUUGCACAUACUUGUGAUUUGUUACAAAAAGAUCCUCAAUGAAGUCCAGCAAGAUUGUGGACAAAGAAAGAAUCAUUGAGUUGAUAAUAACAGAGAAUCAUGGUUGUGACCUUGAAACGGGAAGAAGAUGAGAUAAACCUUACUGUUAGGAAAAUCUCAAAGAAAUGAAAAGAUCAACCUUGCAAUCAGGAAGCAUCGAGUUUUCAAACCCUGCGAUCAAGAAUUAUCAAGAAGCACCAAGUUUUUCGGCCCUUCUUCUAUCAUCCCUUCAGGACUUCGCCAGGUAAGUCCCAUUUUUCACACUUGUCACAUCACAUCUUUCAUUUGGGUAGGUCACCCAUAACAAUGAGACCAUUUCACAUUUUUUCUAUCCUCCACAUGGGUAGGUCACCCAUAAUAAUGAGACCGCUUCAUAUUUUUCUCAUCUUCCAUCUGGGUAGGUCACCCAUUACAAUGAGACCGCUUCACAUUUUUUCUAUCUUCCACCUGGGUAGGUCACCCAUUAUAACGCGACCACUUCACAUUUUUUCUAUCUUCCACCUGGGUAGGUCACCCAUUAUAAUGAGACCGCACUUCACAUUCUUUCCAUUUGGGUAGGUCACCCAUUACAAUGAGACCAUUUGUUCCACAUUCUUUGUUUUGGUUUAAUGAGGUCGCCAGAUGGGAUCUCAUGUAGCUUUGGUUAAAGGGAAUCGCCAGAUGGAAUUUCAGGUUGACCGAGCUACACACAUUUUCUUAGUUUUGGUUUAAUGAGGUCGCCAGAUGGGAUCUCAUGUUGGUUCUGGUUAAAGGGGAUCGCCGGACGGGAUCUCAGGUUAGCCCAACCACACACAGGAUAUUGGUUCUGGUUAAAGGGGAUCGCCGGACGGGAUCUCAGGUUAGCCCAACCACACACACAGGAUAUUGGUUCUGGUUAAAGUGGAUCGCCAGAUGGGAUCUCAGGUUAGCCCAACCACACACAGAAUUUUGGUUCUGGUUCAAGGAGAUCGCCCGAUGGGAUCUCAGGACAAAACGAAAAAAAAAAGAUUUUCUUUACAAAUCUUACUAUGCAAAACAUUGAGGAGUUUUGCUUCGUAAGCAUUGUAAAGAGGGGGCAUCUGUUGCUACCCAAUUUUUGACCCAUGUUUUGAUAAAUUUUCAGAAAAAUUCAAAAAUAGCGAAAAACAUUGAAAAUCCAAAAAAAUACGUUUUUAAUACAUUUGCAUCGUUUUUUAUCAUUUUUAGCAUCGUCUCAAAAGAAUUUAAAUUUUCAAAGAUAUUUGGAACGCGUUCAACUUUUAACGCGUUAAUUUUAAAAUCAUUGAUUUUCCUCAUUGAGUCGACGUUGAUAUUGCUCGUUUUCAAAAAUACAAAAAAUUAAGAAAAAUCAAAAUUUACAAAAAAAAAAAGGAAAAGAGAAGGAAAGAAAAGUUGAGGGACUAAUUUGAAAACCUAGCAAAACUUUUCCUAUAAAUACCAUGCUACACUGAAUUUUCAGAGGGGGGCAAUUUUGACAACAUCAUAAAAAAUACAAAAAACCUAACCCUAAACCCAUCUUUUUUUCAAGAGGAGCCGCCCCCCACGUUUUUGGUUUUCCUCUUCAGCCGGUUCCCCAUCUUCUUCUCCUGGCCGGCCAAAGACUUCCUCUCCCCCCACAAACCAAGCCACCGCAGCUCUCCUUUUCCUUCCUUCUCCAACACCGCCGGUCAUCUCCCAUAGUCGGCCACUUCCCCUCCAUUCAUCAACACAAAGCAGCCGUCUCCCUUCACUGCCUCCACACUGAUCCCCUCUUCUUCUCUCUCGGCCACCCACCGUUCUUCCCUCUCUCGGCCAACCCAGCUCCAGCAGCAAGACUUACGAACACGGCCGCGCCCACAGACCCGAUCUCCUCAGCACCGCCACCGAGCUCAUCCUUCAACCGACCUCCAACGGCGGCCCGAACACAACGGCAGCAAAAGACAGCCCUCCUCCAGCCGUUCCCCCAGCUUCAGCAGCCGGCAGAAUCGCACCGCCAGUAACCCAUCCUCAGCAAACCCCUUCAGCAACCGGUCCUCCUCCGAUUCAAACCAGUGCAGCAGAUCUAGACCGAGAUCCAGCCGCCAUCAGCGCCGACGAUGUCCAACAACCAGAUGUGCUACAGGGAUGAACUCUUGGGCAACAAACCGUGACAGACCCAAAGGAAUCGGAUCUAAGAAAAAUAAAACUAAAAUCGACUGUGUUGUGCGUUUUCUGUUAUUGCAGGUAGUGGUGUCCCUCACAGCCGGCAGGGAAGGGAAGAGAAGAAGGAGGCGUUCCCGAUCCACUGGUUUUCGGUCUUCAUCGGCGGCGGCGCGUGAACCCACGCGCCGCCAGUGGCGGAGGCGCGUGGAGCAACGCGCCACUACUGUUCAGACGACACCAAGGCUGUGCAGCACUGUUCCCGAGGAUUUCUUUGUGUUUUUGUUGUAACUUUCAGAUGAUGUGUAUAUUUAGAUAUUAUUGUAUUUGAUUUAUUUUGAAUUUUUGUUAUUUGUUUUACAUGUAAAAAUUGUGUAUGUAAAAAACAAAAAAAGGAAAGGAAAGGAAAAGAAAAAGAAAAUAUAGUGAAAGUGUAUGAGUGUGUUUGUAUUUGUUUUAUGGAUGUUUUAUUUUUAUUUAAGAUAAAAUUGUAAAGAUUAAAGAAGAAUUUAAUAUUUUGAUUGGAUCACGGUCAAGAAUUAUUAACUUACAUGUAAGUUGUAUUUCUAAUAUCCGAUGAAAAGACAAUUAUUAAAACUUCUUUAACACAUCAAAGUCACGAAGCAGCUUACCUCAGGUAGGGUGUGUUAGGGGUGCUAAUACCUUCCCUAACCACAACCAGUCCCUUACCCGCGAAUCUCUGACAAGACCAGUAUAUCAGGUUUCCUAGUAGCCCUCAAUAAAUUACUAGGUGGCGACUCCAACGAACCAAUCAA
rnacentral:lncRNA from 1 species